UCCAGCAUGGUUUAAUGGUUUUAGUGUUGGACUUGGACUCUGGGGAUCAGGGUUCAAAUCCCUGCUCAAA